rnacentral:rRNA from 1 species
UGGUGGGGUGACUUGUCUGCAUAAUUGCGAUAACGAACGAGACCUUAACCUGCUAAAUAGCCCGCAUUGCUCCGGCAGUGCGCUGGCUUCUUAGAGGGACUUUCGGCUCAAGCCGAAGGAAGUUUGAGGCAAUAACA